AUGUGGCUCUUCAUCUCCCUCGACGUUUAUUCCUUCUCCCUCAUCUUACCCACGACAGCCAAACCUUCAUCCUCAUCUCUCUGUUUUCCUUACUCCGCCGCCGUCUCUGUUUCCUGGUCAUCACAAAAACACUCAGUUUAUCUCCUCCUCAAUAUCCGUCUCAAUCUCCAUUCGAUGCAACAAAGGCCCCUUCGCCUCUAUCUAACUUCACUGCUCGUGCCUCCGUCUCAAUUCGGAGCUUCGUCUCACCCUAUAUCUGAUCUCACUUCAUUUCUUCCAAUAAAGCCUCAACAGUGCCGAACCUAA